CAGUAGCCACGGGAAUACGAAGGGUGCAAGCGUUAAUCGGAAUUACUGGGCGUAAAGCGUGCGUAGGCGGUUUGUUAAGUCUGCUGUGAAAUCCCCGGGCUCAACCUGGGAAUGGCAGUGGAUACUGGCAAGCUAGAGUGUGUCAGAGGAUGGUGGAAUUCCCGGUGUAGCGGUGAAAUGCGUAGAGAUCGGGAGGAACAUCAGUGGCGAAGGCGGCCAUCUGGGACAACACUGACGCUGAGGCACGAAAGCGUGGGGAGCAAACAGGAUUAGAUACCCCCGUAGUCCAUGUCUCUUAUAC
rnacentral:rRNA from 1 species